AGUGAACGCUGGCGGUAGGCCUAACACAUGCAAGUCGAACGGCAGCACAGUAAGAGCUUGCUCUUACGGGUGGCGAGUGGCGGACGGGUGAGGAAUACAUCGGAAUCUACUUUUUCGUGGGGGAUAACGUAGGGAAACUUACGCUAAUACCGCAUACGACCUACGGGUGAAAGCAGGGGAUCUUCGGACCCUGCGCGAUUGAAUGAGCCGAUGUCGGGUUAGCUAGUUGGCGGGGUAAAGGCCCACCAAGGCGACGAUCCGUAGCUGGUCUGAGAGGAUGAUCAGCCACACUGGAACUGAGACACGGUCCAGACUACUACGGGAGGCAGCAGUGGGGAAUAUUGGACAAUGGGCGCAAGCCUGAUCCAGCCAUACCGCGUGGGUGAAGAAGGCCUUCGGGUUGUAAAGCCCUUUUGUUGGGAAAGAAAAGCAGCAGGUUAAUACCCCGCUGUUCUGACGGUACCCAAAGAAUAAGCACCGGCUAACUUCGUG
rnacentral:rRNA from 1 species